rnacentral:rRNA from 1 species
AUUGAACGCUGGCGGCAUGCUUUACACAUGCAAGUCGAACGGCAUCACGGGCUUCGGCCUGGUGGCGAGUGGCGAACGGGUGAGUAAUGCAUCGGAACGUACCGUGUAGUGGGGGAUAACGUAGCGAAAGUUACGCUAAUACCGCAUACGCCCCGAGGGGGAAAGUGGGGGACCGCAAGGCCUCACGCUAUAUGAGCGGCCGAUGUCGGAUUAGCUAGUUGGUAGGGUAAAGGCCUACCAAGGCGACGAUCCGUAGCGGGUCUGAGAGGAUGAUCCGCCACACUGGGACUGAGACACGGCCCAGACUCCUACGGGAGGCAGCAGUGGGGAAUUUUGGACAAUGGGCGCAAGCCUGAUCCAGCCAUGCCGCGUGAGUGAAGAAGGCCUUCGGGUUGUAAAGCUCUUUCAGACGGAAAGAAAUCUCCCAGGAUAAUACCUUGGGAGGAUGACGGUACCGUAAGAAGAAGCACCGGCUAACUACGUGCCAGCAGCCGCCGUAAUAC